rnacentral:lncRNA from 1 species
CUUGGCCAAAAAAUGUUCCUAUUGUUUUUUUCUAAAGAGUUGGCAGAAAGCAGUUUUUUUAUUUUAACUCGAUCUUCAGUGUUUGGCAAGGAAAUUCAAUCUAGACCUCUUUAGAGAUAAUAUUCUGGAAAUGAGAAAAUACAAACAAUAGAGACUUACAUGUCUGUACUGAAGCCCAUUCCCAUUUGACCUUGGCUAUUUUUCUUGUAGCAAUGUAUCAUUUUGUUAUCUGCUCUUAUAUCUGUUAUUUAAAAAUUCCUCUGUUUUCAGGGUUAAUAAAGCUGAAAUCCAGAACUUCAUCCUUCAUGUUAAUGCCUCAAAUUUGACUGAGGUGUUUCUUCCAUUAUUGGGAAGAAAGCAGUUGAAGUAGCCCUGCAGACUGGUUAUUUAUCCAGGAGGAUAACAUCUUUUAUGACCAACAGGUAUUUUUAGAAGACAGAAUGUUCCUUCAAUAAAGCUUGCAGAAUCUGUUCCAGUAGAGCUAUGCCUGUUUGAUGGAAAAAAAUGUUCCAGAGGAAUGUUCGUUCUGUCAUAGAUAUCAACAGAAAAUCAGCAGGGAGCUCCUCAAAUGCCUUUUCCACAGACUACCUCGGGCCUCAUCUCCUCGGCGUUUGAGGCGUGGUUAUUGAGAGUGGUUUAUUGUCCAUCCAGCUGGCUCCCUGGUGGAUCACAAGAAGAUGAGAACUUUGCGGGACAGCGGCUCACCUUGAAUAAUCUUUACUGAGAGAUUGCAACAACUCUAUGAGGGUUCUCAUGAGCUUCUGUGCAGAGAAUCUGUGCACCAAAGAGAGAGUGGAUAAUCAACAGCAAAGUUAUGUUGAACAACUUCCUAUGCACUCCUAUGCAUUGAGAACGUCUGAGCAUGGGACGCAAUUGGUUUCUAUUUUCUUAUCUUUCCUGAGCAGAGGCAAGAUAAUAAGGUUGGUAUUGUUUUGUAUGUAAAACACAGAAAACCUGGAAUGUGCUAGGAAUGAAGAACAUAGUGUGAGUACUGUCAUGGGCAAUGCAGUGGCACAUGCCAUUGCACACCAGUGAGGCACCAAGCUGGGAAAUUGCAUUCUCCUGUGACCUGCUCUGAAUGCUUUCACCCAGGGGUGAUACCAGUGCUGUACUUGUGUGCCCAGAUACCAAAUAAACUCCAUCUGCUGGGAUUGAAGAUGUUCA